UACCAUCAAUUGUGUUUGGUUUCAUUAAUAUAUAUUGACCCCUUCUUUAAAUUAUAUCGAAAGUUGCGGGACGAUAGUUAGUGCGAGGGAAAUUGAUAAUGCUGGUACAAAAAUGAACACCAUAUGCCUUUUUCUCAUGUAUUUUUUUAUCGUCGCUAACCAGCACACCCGGCACUCCUCGAAAAGCCUAAUACAGUUAAUGGAUUUGAUCAACUAAUAAUUGGCUUAGGUCAGCGACAAUUGCGCCUGCCAUGUCAGAUCCUACAUGGCAACCAUAUCAUUAUUUCUGCCAUGUCAUCUCAUGAACCAGUUGAUCGAUGUUGUGCCAUAUCCUAUGUAAAUCAAGCACACUUAAAAAACGGGGUCAUAGCCGAAUGAAUUUCUGGUCGUGGGCAAUGAUGUUUAGUAUGGUUCAAGUGAAUUGUAUACUUCUAUACGUUGAUGCCCUUUUGUGUUAGUAUAGGGGUGAACAUUUAUAUUGGAUCAUCAUGAGAGUUAGCAAUGUGUUAUGAUCCAUUAAUGAUUGGAGGACGUGGCACAACGGGCCGGCCCAUUUGUGUCUAACUUCAGCGAAGGAUCCUAUAUAUGUCGCAUGAGCACGACAAAUUGGAGGAACUUCUCGAGGUUCCCAGCUGGUUUUUUUGGGUUUUGAUUAACUUCUAAAAGGUUCCCUGAACCGAUUUUCUUUUUUUGUUUUCUUUAUUUAUAUUGUUUUUUGUUUCUUUUUUUACUUUUUUUCUUCUGUUUCAAAAAAUGUUCUCGAUUUUCAAAAAAUGUUCUAGACUAUUUAUCUUUUUAUUCAAAUACAAAAAGUAUUUUUCAAUUGUCU
rnacentral:lncRNA from 1 species